rnacentral:rRNA from 1 species
GAUGAACGCUGGCGGCGUGCCUAAUACAUGCAAGUCGAGCGAACGGACGAGAAGCUUGCUUCUCUGAUGUUAGCGGCGGACGGGUGAGUAACACGUGGAUAACCUACCUAUAAGACUGGGAUAACUUCGGGAAACCGGAGCUAAUACCGGAUGAUAUUUUGAACCGCAUGGUUCAAAAGUGAAAGACGGUCUUGCUGUCACUUAUAGAUGGAUCCGCGCUGCAUUAGCUAAUUGGUAAGGUAACGGCUUACCAAGGCAACGAUGCAUAGCCGACCUGAGAGGGUGAUCGGCCACACUGGAACUGAGACACGGUCCAGACUCCUACGGGAGGCAGCAGUAGGGAAUCUUCCGCAAUGGGCGAAAGCCUGACGGAGCAACGCCGCGUGAGUGAUGAAGGUCUUCGGAUCGUAAAACUCUGUUAUUAGGGAAGAACAUAUGUGUAAGUAACUGUGCACAUCUUGACGGUACCUAAUCAGAAAGCCACGGCUAACUACGUG